UCUGCACCCAAACCCAAAGGUCACGCCGUGGUCAGUGGCGUGAUUUUGUCUGGUGUGCAAACAGGAAAUGGUCCUUGUCGCCUUUCUCUGAUGCUGCGGUGCCUUUGAAAGUGAAUUCAAGGUCCAACAUGC
ensembl:snoRNA